rnacentral:rRNA from 1 species
UACGUAGGGCGCAAGCGUUAUCCGGAAUUAUUGGGCGUAAAGAGCUCGUAGGCGGUUUGUCGCGUCUGCCGUGAAAGUCCGGGGCUCAACUCCGGAUCUGCGGUGGGUACGGGCAGACUAGAGUGAUGUAGGGGAGACUGGAAUUCCUGGUGGUAGCGGUGAAAUGCGCAGAUAUCAGGAGGAACACCGAUGGCGAAGGCAGGUCUCUGGGCAUUAACUGACGCUGAGGAGCGAAAGCAUGGGGAGCGAACAGG